AAUGAACCUCAACAUUUUCUAUAGGAAAUUCAUCCAAGGUUAAUUCACUCCAUACCAACCUUAUUCAUAUACCAUAUUUGCAUUCAACAACAAAAAUUUAACACAAUUAGAAUAUAGGACAAAAAGAAAAAAGAAAAAAAUAAAAAAUAAAAAAAAGGGAAGAAGAAGAAGAAGAAGAAGAAGUAUAUAGACACUCAUGACAAAAGCUUCCCUAAUUUUAUAAGUAAACAAAGAAUGACCCCCUCCCCCCCAAAAAAAGAAAAAAAAAAGAAAAAAACAAAAGACAUAAUAUCAUGUCUAAAAUGGGAAAGAAAAUUCACAUGUUCUUACGAAGGAUCACACGCUACUCCCUCUACAUCCAUCCAUGUGAUUGCAUCCAAUAAUGGGUCAGCCUGAUACUUUCAUUCAUCCAUUCAACGGCACCGACCCCGCUCGCCCUCACUCAAGCCAGUGCCGAAGAAAAGUGUCGGUGGCCGGAAGCCGCCGCCAAUGUGAGCCCGCAGGCUCCGAUCCACAGACCCACCGACGGCGAACGCAUCACUUGAAAUCUUGCAAUGAAAUCGUGAGGGCGAUCGUCUGAUUCCAAGCCCCUCCAGUCGGCAGCAGUCUCCACGCCGGUGCACCCAGUAUCGCUUUGGAAACUCCGCCGCGACGAGGAUUUUACCACCGAACCAUCUCGGCGCGGAGAGCUGCAGGCAAGGAUUCAUACCCCUCUACGUGUUAUUUUCAUGUAGGAGCUCGGGCACUGGCUGGGAAAAUCUACUCCUGCCCAGGUUUGUGUUGCCUUCCUUCGUCUUGCUAGGAGCUGGUGCGUAGCCCUCAGACACGGCGAUGGGUGGCAAACCUUCAUGCAGUGUUGGUGGGUCUUAACAGUGUGUGAUUUGGGUGUCAGUGGGUUUGGAUUGACUGCAAGUGAUCGCACAGUUAGACGCGUAGAAUGGCUACAUGGAGUACAUCUCCGUUGACAAGAUGUUUUGUAAACUGUACUGUCUUCAUUCCACAGCGAGGACGUCGUGCCUGAUACAGUGUUUUUUUUUACAGCCAUGCCGAAUAUUUCAGACUAUCUGGCUGACAGCGAGCUCUUGCGCCGAAGUUUUCUUUCCCCCAUCCCCAGCUGCACACUGCCAGAUGGUAAUAUGGUUUAUCGAAACAAUUAAGACACCGAUUACGAUCUCCGACAGUAGAUUACCGAGGCGAGGUGGUGGGAGUUGCUACUUUUGGGGACGUUCGUAUGUGUAUGUCUAACCCAAGAAAUUCGUAAUUCAAACAGUCAAGAAAUGCGAGUUUGGGUCUAUUGUUGCUCAAAGAGUUGUUGAAGAGAUUGCUAAGAGCUUGAAGAACCUCUCAAGUAACUGUCAGGAGGAUGAUGUGGAAUGGCCAUCUUCAAAGUAGUCGUCCGGAGUUGAGCAGGCAGCAGAGCGUAACCAGGCACAGAUUUCCGGAGAUGGCAGAUCCAUCAUUCCUUUAUCAAUGGGUGCAGCUCUUCCAUCAGUGGCGCGUUUGCAGCACAUGUCUAUGAAUUGAAGCGGGGAACUUGUCUGGUGGCGAAUUCUGAUUCGGCCAUUCUGUUUCCAACCAAGUCAGUGCACAAGGCGAAGCUCUGGCCUGACGUAUGAAGGCUUUGAAUGUGCGUAUUCAUGUGCACGUUGUGAUUCCUGGUACAAACGACAAUAUAGCUCAGUGGAAAUGCUUGUACGUUGCAACGAAAGAUAAUGCCGAGAACCGUGAGUGUAUGUUUGAAAGGCAUAGUUUGCUUCGUGCAUCGGAGUUUCAAUCUAGUGCACCAAAAAGCGAAUUUGGUUUAUGGGGCACCAUUGAAUUGUCAUGUAUUCCUGUAUAACUCAAGGUUGUUCCGGUGCUGUGCAGACAUUAAGCUGCCUGUUCAUAAAAUUGACUGCUUGUACAUCACUGGAUGUGGCAAGCUUUCUGAACAGCUAAUAAUACUACCGGAAUAUAUUGGACACACAAACAGUGACCUUCCUAACUUGAAUUUC